GCCACUCCAAAACCCGUAAGAGGGAGGAUGACGGAGCGGCGGAGCCGGGAAAGGCAAGUCAUUUCAGGCUCCGAAAGCCGAAUUCGCACAUAAUUAACCUAAGACCCAAAGAAUAUUCCCGAGGUUCGUAUGGGAAAAGGUGAAGAUAGCUCGGGAUGGAGGCCGUUUCGCAUGAGAGAAGGAUGCUCCCCCGCGCAACGAGUGAUCCGCUCUCUCCAUGUUUCAAGAGACGUGGCUGCAGGAAGCGUCC
rnacentral:lncRNA from 1 species